rnacentral:rRNA from 1 species
CCUACGGGAGGCAGCAGUGAGGAAUAUUGGUCAAUGGGCGGAAGCCUGAACCAGCCAAGUAGCGUGCGGGAUGAAGGCCCUACGGAUCGUAAACCGCUUUUGCACGGGGAUAACACCCUCCACUUGUGGAGGUCUGCAGGUACCGUGCGAAUAAGGGCCGGCUAAUUCCGUGCCAGCAGCCGCGGUAAUAAGGAAGGCACGAGCGUUAUCCGGAUUCAUUGGGCUUAAAGGGAGCGUAGGCGGGCGUUCAAGUCAGCUGUAAAAUCGAGAGGCUAAACCGCGCCCCGCAGUUGAAACUGGAUGCCUUGAGUUAACAACAGGCAGGCGGAAUGCGUGGUGUAGCGGUGAAAUGCAUAGAUAUCACGAGGAACCCCGAUUGCGAAGGCAGCCUGCCGGGGUGCGACUGACGCUGAGGCUCGAAGGUGCGGGUAUCAAACAGGAUUAGAUACCCUUGUAGUC